rnacentral:lncRNA from 1 species
AUUGGUCGGCACGGUCGCGGUCGGCAGUCGUUGUCGGGCCGACGUCGGGCCACUACUAGCCCGACGUCGGUAUAACGGUGGCUCAUCAGCUGUGCGUCGGGCCACUACUGGUGACCCGACGUCGGGCCGACGACUGCUUCACGCCGUCGGCCCGACGUCGGUAUAACGGUGGCUCACCAGCUGUGCUCGAUUUGCACUAAGCGGCCAAUUUCAAAUCGAGGUCACCCACACUAAGCGGCCAUAGAUCGUUGCAAGUGCACUUGACGGUUAUUUCAUAUUUUCCGUAUUUUGCACCAAAUUGUUAGGUAAGUAUUUACUUUAAAGUGUUUAUGUUUUUCGUACUAUAGGUGGAGGUUUAUUUGUUGUAGAUGAAUUAACGAAAACAAGCAAAUCUGUUAAUAAUUUGUUAGUCGUAGCUGCAGGCAGUUGGCGCGCUGCAUGCCGCCUUUGAACCAACGUCGGGGCGACGUUGGGUUUCCGGCGGCCAAAAAUAUUUUCCCGCUCAAAUUCUUUUAUGCUUUGAAAGACAUUUCAAUUACCACAUUUCAUGUAUAGACAAUUUAUAAAUGUGAAUGAGCAACGUUCUAGUACUUUUUUUUGUACCUAGGAGUAUAUAUUGUUUAUAUUUUCUCUAGUUGAAUUUGAAAUGCUUAUAUAAUAGGUGUAUAUAGCAAGGCUGCAUGAUACUAACAUGUAAACUUAUAAUGUCAGCAUGGGCUUAACACUGGAUAAACCUUAUGGCAUACAUUCCAAACUCAGUUUAGCAUUAAGGGGUCAGUAGGCUAACCUAAAAUAUCCAGCGGUGGUUCUUUUAGGGGGGGGGGGGGGCAAGUUUAAAUUGAAUUUUUUUCUAGAUGUUUAGUCAAAUACCCACAGGGUAUGAUAUAAUAAUGUUUCUUUUUUGGUUUAGGCUCAUAAUUAGACAAGGCAUUUUGUGCACAUUACAAAGCCACACUUAAUAUGUAUCUCAUAUUUCUCUUAUAGUCUUCCAUCAUGCAUUACUACCUAUUUGUCGCCUGUGUUGAGCAGUCAAUCCUCACAAGAAAAUACACUUGAAAGAGAGAGAAGCAGCCCAGGCGCCGCAGCAGAGUUCCUCAGAUGAAUAUUAGUCAUCAUCAUCAUUCCUCUUCGUCCAGUGUGGGAAUUAAUUAAGGCCACAGUCACUUCUUUCCAGCGUAGUGUCGUAGUCAAAGAUAUGCUGCAAAUCUUGCGACUCACAGAGCGUCAUCUAUUUGAUAUGAUGUUAACAAUGCCAUCAAAUGUACGUCGGGGAAACGAGGCAGAAAUUAAAAGACAGAAUUAGACACCACCGCUGCCCUAUAAACAACAAAAACCUCUUCGUGCCUGUGGGACAACACAACACUCAGCUAAAGACAUCACCGUUACCGUCUUAAAAGGAAACGAUACUAGGCAAAGACGGAUCGUCGUACAGAAAUGUAUUAGAACACUAGACACCUUGAAUAAUGGACUCAGAAGGGACAAUAGUUUCUUAAAUGAAUAUUGAUUUUUUAUAUGUUACGUUUAGCGUUUAGGACGCUUUUGCAGCAUCGCGUGCCUUUAACACAUCAUCGACGCCACAUACCCCAGGAGUUUUUCUUCACCAUUUUUUUAAUGUCUCUGAAGAAGGCCUAGGGACCGAAAGCUUGGAUUAUAUAUGACAUCUGUAAAGUAGAUCCUUAGAGAUGCAUCAGUAAUAAUAUUUAUUUUCAAUAA